UACAUACUUCCUCCAUCCAGAAAUACUGUCGGAUGAAUGAAUGUAUUUGGAUGCAUUUUAGUUUUAGAUACAUUUAUUUUUAGUUAUUUUUACGAUAAGUAAUUUCGAACGGAGGAAGUACUUU
rfam:Hordeum vulgare subsp. vulgare, WGS project CAJW01000000 data, contig: morex_contig_44045